rnacentral:rRNA from 1 species
UACGGAGGAUCCAAGCGUUAUCCGGAAUCAUUGGGUUUAAAGGGUCCGUAGGCGGUUUUGUAAGUCAGUGGUGAAAGCCCAUCGCUCAACGGUGGAACGGCCAUUGAUACUGCAAGACUUGAAUUAUUGGGAAGUAACUAGAAUAUGUAGUGUAGCGGUGAAAUGCUUAGAGAUUACAUGGAAUACCAAUUGCGAAGGCAGGUUACUACCAAUAUAUUGACGCUGAUGGACGAAA